rnacentral:rRNA from 1 species
GAUGAACGCUGGCGGCGUGCCUAAUACAUGCAAGUCGAGCGAACGGACGAGAAGCUUGCUUCUCUGAUGUUAGCGGCGGACGGGUGAGUAACACGUGGAUAACCUACCUAUAAGACUGGGAUAACUUCGGGAAACCGGAGCUAAUACCGGAUAAUAUUUUGAACCGCAUGGUUCAAAAGUGAAAGACGGUCUUGCUGUCACUUAUAGAUGGAUCCGCGCUGCAUUAGCUAGUUGGUAAGGUAACGGCUUACCAAGGCAACGAUGCAUAGCCGACCUGAGAGGGUGAUCGGCCACACUGGAACUGAGACACGGUCCAGACUCCUACGGGAGGCAGCAGUAGGGAAUCUUCCGCAAUGGGCGAAAGCCUGACGGAGCAACGCCGCGUGAGUGAUGAAGGUCUUCGGAUCGUAAAACUCUGUUAUUAGGGAAGAACAUAUGUGUAAGUAACUGUGCACAUCUUGACGGUACCUAAUCAGAAAGCCACGGCUAACUACGUGCCAGCAGCCGCGGUAAUAUGUAGGUGGCAAGCGUUAUCCGGAAUUAUUGGGCGUAAAGCGCGCGUAGGCGGUUUUUUAAGUCUGAUGUGAAAGCCCACGGCUCAACCGUGGAGGGUCAUUGGAAACUGGAAAACUUGAGUGCAGAAGAGGAAAGUGGAAUUCCAUGUGUAGCGGUGAAAUGCGCAGAGAUAUGGAGGAACACCAGUGGCGAAGGCGACUUUCUGGUCUGUAACUGACGCUGAUGUGCGAAAGCGUGGGGAUCAAACAGGAUUAGAUACCCUGGUAGUCCACGCCGUAAUCGAUGAGUGCUAAGUGUUAGGGGGUUUCCGCCCCUUAGUGCUGCAGCUAACGCAUUAAGCACUCCGCCUGGGGAGUACGACCGCAAGGUUGAAACUCAAAGGAAUUGACGGGGACCCGCACAAGCGGUGGAGCAUGUGGUUUAAUUCGAAGCAACGCGAAGAACCUUACCAAAUCUUGACAUCCUUUGACAACUCUAGAGAUAGAGCCUUCCCCUUCGGGGGACAAAGUGACAGGUGGUGCAUGGUUGUCGUCAGCUCGUGUCGUGAGAUGUUGGGUUAAGUCCCGCAACGAGCGCAACCCUUAAGCUUAGUUGCCAUCAUUAAGUUGGGCACUCUAAGUUGACUGCCGGUGACAAACCGGAGGAAGGUGGGGAUGACGUCAAAUCAUCAUGCCCCUUAUGAUUUGGGCUACACACGUGCUACAAUGGACAAUACAAAGGGCAGCGAAACCGCGAGGUCAAGCAAAUCCCAUAAAGUUGUUCUCAGUUCGGAUUGUAGUCUGCAACUCGACUACAUGAAGCUGGAAUCGCUAGUAAUCGUAGAUCAGCAUGCUACGGUGAAUACGUUCCCGGGUCU